CCUACGGGAGACAGCAGUGGGGAAUAUUGCACAAUGGGGGAAACCCUGAUGCAGCGACGCCGCGUGAAGGAAGAAGUAUUUCGGUAUGUAAACUUCUAUCAGCAGGGAAGAAAAUGACGGUACCUGACUAAGAAGCCCCGGCUAACUACGUGCCAGCAGCCGCGGUAAUACGUAGGGGGCAAGCGUUAUCCGGAUUGACUGGGUGUAAAGGGAGCGUAGACGGUUGUGCAAGUCUGAAGUGAAAGCCCGCGGCUCAACUGCGGAACGGCUUGGGAAAUUGUGUAACUGGAGUGCUGGAGAGGUAAGCGGAAUUCCUGGUGUAGCGGUGACAUGCGUAGAGAUCAGGAGGAACACCGGCGGCGAAGGCGGCUUACUGGACAGUAACUGACGUUGAGGCUCGAAAGCGUGGGGAGCAAACAGGAUUAGAUACCCUGGUAGUC
rnacentral:rRNA from 1 species